rnacentral:rRNA from 1 species
UACGAAGGGUGCAAGCGUUACUCGGAAUUACUGGGCGUAAAGCGUGCGCAGGCGGCUUUGCAAGACAGAUGUGAAAUCCCCGGGCUUAACCUGGGAACUGCAUUUGUGACUGCAUGGCUGGAGUGCGGCAGAGGGGGAUGGAAUUCCGCGUGUAGCAGUGAAAUGCGUAGAUAUGCGGAAGAACACCGAUGGCGAAGGCAAUCCCCUGGGCCUGCACUGACGCUCAUGCACGAAAGCGUGGGGAGCAAACAGG